AAUGAAAGGAAAGGAAAGGAAAGGAGGAGGGGUUCCCAGGGACCUGUAUCGUAUACUUGCUUGCUUGUCGGCUUGCUUUUUGUCUGUCUAUCUUUCCUGUUGUUCUCUUUCUUCUUGUUCUUGCUG
rnacentral:ribozyme from 1 species